AAAAAUUACAAAUUUUAAAUAUAAUUAAAAAAAGAAAAGGACCGAAACGUAUCAUUCUGCACUACUUUAUGAGUUAACAAGCUAUCAAAACCUUACAAUCCCAUUUCAGAAAACCAUUCCUAUCAAGAAACUAUAUUUUACAUUUCCUAUGAUAAUUAUAACAUAUAGGAGUUCUUUUUCUUUUCUUUUU